UCAAUUUCGAGAAAAAUCGGGCUCUGUUUGUGGAUGCCAACCUUGGCACCAGUGGACUGUAGCGGAGCAUAUCCAUCCAGGUAUCCGUUCCAUCCGAAUUCCGAACCAUCCACCAUCAGGACACGCCCUCUCGUCGCGCCCGAACUCCGGAGCAUGCUCUCCACGCCCGCCGCCGGCGGGCGCUUCCGCGUGGGGGGAGCUCUCCCCUGGAGGCUUCGUCCGCGCUCCUGCCUAGCAUCGCCGCCGGGCUCCAGCGGCGGAGGCGGCGGCGAGCCUGAAAAGGCCAGGCCUUUGCUCGUGGAGCGGUACCGGGACGGCGUCACAAAAAGAUAUAUGUCGGAUGGCAAUUCUAAGCUGCAAAUUCGUUUGGAGAAGCAUGAAUCUUCGGUGAACGCAGUGGAGAAUGAGCAUGCGGCAGAUUCUUUGAUCCCCCAGGCUGUUAGGGAUUUUGUACUUCCAGCGGGGUUCCCAGAAUCUGUUACAGUUGACUACCUGGAGUACAUGCUAUUGCAGUUCCCAACAAAUGUGACAGGAUGGAUCUGUCAUGUACUAGUUACGUCAAGUCUGCUGAAGGCUGUAGGUGUGGGGUCCUUUACAGGAACUUCGGCAGCUGCAUCUGCUGCUGCUAUCAGAUGGGUAUCGAAGGAUGGCAUAGGAGGCUUUGGGCGUCUUCUCAUUGGUGGACGCUUUGGAACACUUUUUGAUGAUGACCCAAAGAAGUGGCGGAUGUACGCCGAUUUCAUUGGAAGUGCUGGAAGCGUCUUUGAGCUCAUCACUCCACUGUAUCCAGGUUACUUCCUCCCACUUGCAUCAUUGGGGAAUCUUGCAAAGGCUGUAGCAAGAGGAUUUAAAGACCCUUCCUUUCGUGUGAUCCAAAAUCACUUUGCAGAAUCUGGAAAUCUAGGAGAGGUUGCUGCAAAGAUGACGGAAAAAAUAUUACAAUCACUAAAAGGUUCCUUUAAACCUAAGGAUAAAAGUGCCUUAAAAACUCUUUUGGCUGUGCACUACAUCUUUUCUGUUCAGGUUAUGAACAGAUCUUGCAAGAAUAUUUUUUUGCAAAAUUUCUUUUUAAGAAACAAUGACGUAUUUUCAGGAGGAAGUAUGGGAAGUAGGAUCCCAGCUGAUAGGCCUUUCGAUUGGAGUACUUAUAAUGGAUACAUCAGGUGUAAAGUCAUCAUACUUAACUCUUACUCUAACAUGGCUGAGUAUUCGUCUUCUACAUCUUUGGCUGCGCUAUCAGUCCCUAUCAGUUCUCAAGUUCCGCACAAUAAACCUAAAACGUGGUCGGAUACUUGUGAGAUCACAUGUCACGCAACAUACAGUUCCUGGUUAUGUCGUUUGCAAUGAGGAGGAAAACAUUUUAACAUGGGAGAGAUUCUUGCAUCCCCAAAUUUCUUUUGGCGUGCCCAUGGAAAGAAUGCUUGGCAGUGAGGAACCCAGUGACAUGGUGAAUAGAUUAUUGAAGUUGUACAAGAAUGAGAAGUAUGUCCUCUUCGUUGAGCAGUUUGGAUCAAGAGAACCAAAAUUUCUUGUUGCGUUCAAGGAAUCGGCUACCAGCAUUUCGGUCCUAAGAAGCCUCUGGCAGGCACAUUGGCUUCAAGAAAAUCUGCAAAACCAGGAUGAUGUUUUCUCUUGGUUAGAGGCUAGCAUUCUUGCAUUAGAACAUGGAUUUACUGACUUCCUUGAGCAAAUGGAAAGAGCUGGCUGGGAUCAGAACCAAAUCAUUUUGAAAGUGCCAAAAGAACCAGUUUUGGUGUCAGAAUACCUGAACCAAGAUGUUUAGGAUGCUACUGUUGCUUAGUAAUUCCCUCCUGACACUCUCCGGCUGCAACGAACUUUUUCCUUAUAGUGGUUUUAGGGUUCAGCCGGUGCUAACCUAGAGACAAUAUUGAAAUUUCUUUUCCGAAGCAUGAUCUUGACCUGCUGAAACAAUUGCAAUUGCCAACUGAACAUUCGAUAUUUGGAUAUCAGCCAAGGUUCUCAUGUGGGUGAUGCUUAGUGAUCUAACAAUCCAUAUUGUAAGAAACUAUGUUUGGCAUAUGACCAGAUGUUUACUGUUUACAGUGUGAAAAAUGGAAAUGCUACAAUUAAUGCA